rnacentral:rRNA from 1 species
AUACGUAGGUGGCGAGCGUUGUCCGGAAUUACUGGGCGUAAAGGGUGCGUAGGCGGAUAAUCAAGUCAGAUGUGAAAGUCCAUGGCUUAGCUGUGGGAGUGCAUUUGAGACUGAAGAUCUAGAGUGCAGGAGAGGGGAGCGGAAUUCCUAGUGUAGCGGUGAAAUGCGUAGAUAUUAGGAAGAACACCAGUGGCGAAGGCGGCUUUCUGGACUGUAACUGACGCUGAAGCGCGAAAGCGUGGGGAGCAAACAGGAUUAGAUACCCUGGUAGUCCACGCCGUAAACGAUGAGUAUUAGGUGUAGGGGACGAUAGUCUUCUGUGCCGGAGCAAACGCAAUAAAUACUCCGCCUGGGGAGUACGGUCACAAGACUAAA